rnacentral:rRNA from 1 species
UACGGAGGGUGCAAGCGUUGCUCGGAAUUACUGGGCGUAAAGCGCGUGUAGGCGGUCUCGUAUGUCUGAUGUGAAAUCCCCGGGCUCAACCCGGGAAGUGCAUUGGAAACUGCGAGACUGGAGUCCCGGAGAGGAAGGUGGAAUUCCAGGUGUAGCGGUGAAAUGCGUAGAUAUCUGGAAGAACAUCGGUGGCGAAGGCGGCCUUCUGGACGGUGACUGACGCUGAGACGCGAAAGCGUGGGGAGCAAACAGG